rnacentral:lncRNA from 1 species
AUAAAAUGAAGGGUCUGCACCAGAAAAAGAAAUCAUUUUUAAGCUCUAUGAUAAGGGUUCUAGGUGGCAUAGUGGAUGUAGCCCUUAACACAGAGUCAGGAACAUGAGGCUGAAUCCCACGACAGAUGUUAACAAUAUGUAUCUGGGAAAAUCAUGACCUCUGUCAGUCUCAACUUCCUUAUCUGUAAACCGGGAAUACAAACAACCUUCCUCACUUGUUGUAAGGAUUAAAUGAGAUAAUAGAUGUAUGACACUUUGCAAACCUUAAGGUGAUGUUUAAAAUUUAGUUACUAUUAUUACACUGAGUGUUAUUGAGUUCAUUGGUUGCAAUGAAAAGCAACAUUAAAACUGAAUAGACUUCACUCAUUCCUUAAAUGCUCUAGUAAGUAGUAAAGGCAAAUCUUCAUUUUCCAGACUUGCACAAAAUGUCCAUUGAAUAUUUUGAAUUUGAUAUACCACUGGUGUCUUCAAUUCGAUAUGUCUAAAACAAAAUUCAGUUUCUUUCUCUCCAAAUCUACCUGUCUUCCAAAUUUCCCUAUCAAUCCCAGAGUCCUGCUCAACUCUUCACUCUCAUUUCAGUAACCAAUCAGUUACAAAAUCUUGUUAUUUCUACCUGCACAGGACUUCCGGGUAAACAUAGCUGCAAUCUAGACGCAAAUCACUUUCUCUCCCAGGCACCAAGAGAAAUAGACUACCUUAAAAAGCAUAAAAAUAACCUUUGGAAGAGAGGAGGGACUCUCCAGUACCCCCACAGAAAUGAAGUUGCUAACUUGGGAGACAGGAAGCUAAGAUCUGGAUUUGUUUGCAUCCUCUCUUGGGAUCUUAAAAGCUGUGUCAUCCUGGGCAAGUCACUUUUUGUGUUUUCAGUUUCUGCAUCUGUAAAAAUGGAGAUAUUAAAAGCACCUAUCCUUCAGAGUCAUUGUAAAAAGUGAAUGUAAAGAAUUCUAUAAAUUUUAAAGUGCACUAAAUAAAUGCUAGCUGCCAUCAUCA